rnacentral:rRNA from 1 species
AGGAUUAGAUACCCUGGUAGUCCACGCUGUAAACGAUGUCGAUUUGGAGGUUGUGCCCUUGAGGCGUGGCUUCCGGAGCUAACGCGUUAAAUCGACCGCCUGGGGAGUACGGCCGCAAGGUUAAAACUCAAAUGAAUUGACGGGGGCCCGCACAAGCGGUGGAGCAUGUGGUUUAAUUCGAUGCAACGCGAAGAACCUUACCUACUCUUGACAUCCAGAGAACUUUCCAGAGAUGGAUUGGUGCCUUCGGGAACUCUGAGACAGGUGCUGCAUGGCUGUCGUCAGCUCGUGUUGUGAAAUGUUGGGUUAAGUCCCGCAACGAGCGCAACCCUUAUCCUUUGUUGCCAGCGGUUCGGCCGGGAACUCAAAGGAGACUGCCAGUGAUAAACUGGAGGAAGGUGGGGAUGACGUCAAGUCAUCAUGGCCCUUACGAGUAGGGCUACACACGUGCUACAAUGGCGUAUACAAAGAGAAGCGACCUCGCGAGAGCAAGCGGACCUCAUAAAGUACGUCGUAGUCCGGAUUGGAGUCUGCAACUCGACUCCAUGAAGUCGGAAUCGCUAGUAAUCGUAGAUCAGAAUGCUACGGUGAAUACGUUCCCGGGCCUUGUACACACCGCCCGUCACACCAUGGGAGUGGGUUGCAAAAGAAG